CUGCAACUCGCCUGCACGAAGUCGGAAUUGCUAGUAAUCGUAGGUCAGCAUACUACGGUGAAUACGUUCCCGGGCCUUGUACACACCGCCCGUCAAACCAUGAGAGUUGGCAACACCCGAAGUCGGUAGUCUAACCGCAAGGAGGACGCCGCCGAAGGUGGGGUUGAUGAUUAGGGUUAAGUCGUAACAAGGUAAC
rnacentral:rRNA from 1 species